GGGAUUGCCUCAGUAACGGCGAGUGAAGCGGCAUCAGCUCAAAUUUGAAAGCCCUCGGGCGUUGUAAUUUGCAGGGGAAGUGCUUGGGGCGGGUGCUGUCUACGUUCCUUGGAACAGGACGCCGCAGAGGGUGAGAGCCCCGUGCGAUGGCACCUCUAACCGCAUAAGCCUUCUCCGACGAGUCGAGUUGUUUGGGAAUGCAGCUCAAAGUGGGUGGUAAAUUCCAUCUAAAGCUAAAUACUGGCGAGAGACCGAUAGCGAACAAGUACAGUGAUGGAAAGAUGAAAAGCACUUUGAAAAGAGAGUGAAACAGCACGUGAAAUUGUUGAAAGGGAAGGGUAUGCGAUUAGCGGCCAGCAGGAGGUGGUCUCUCGUGAAAAGGCCGGGCACCGUCCUCGGACACUGUGCGCGGAGAUGGCGAGGGGCCGCCUGAGGUCUGCGACUCUAGGUUGCUGGCGUAAUGAU
rnacentral:rRNA from 1 species